rnacentral:rRNA from 1 species
GAUGAACGCUGGCGGCGUGCCUAAUACAUGCAAGUCGAGCGAAGCGGGGACGGGUGAGUAACACGUGGAUAACCUCCUAUAAGACUGGGAUAACUUCGGGAAACCGGAGCUAAACCGGAUCCUUAUAGAUGGAUCCGCGCUGCAUUAGCUAGUUGGUAAGGUAACGGCUUACCAAGGCAACGAUGCAUAGCCGACCUGAGAGGGUGAUCGGCCCACCGGGAACUGAGACACGGUCCAGACUCCUACGCGAGGCACCAGUAGGGAACCUUCCGCCAUGGGCGAAAGCCUGACGGAGCAACGCCGCGUGAGUGAUGAAGGUCUUCGGAUCGCAAAACUAUGUUAUUAGGGAAGCGGUAUCUAAUCAGAAAGCCACGCCUAACUACGUGCCAGCAGCAGCGGUAAGAC